rnacentral:tRNA from 1 species
GCCUCCGUCUCGGUGGCGGCGCCGGUCGUGGGGCUCAGGCCCCGGCUGAGGUGCCGGCCGGGAGGUUCAAGCCUCUGCGGAGUCGCC